rnacentral:rRNA from 1 species
CAGCCGCCGCGGUAAUACGUAGGGUGCGAGCGUUAAUCGGAAUUACUGGGCGUAAAGCGUGCGCAGGCGGUUCGUUAAGGCAGAUGUGAAAUCCCCGGGCUUAACCUGGGAACUGCAUUUGUGACUGGCGAGCUAGAGUAUGGCAGAGGGGGGUAGAAUUCCACGUGUAGCAGUGAAAUGCGUAGAGAUGUGGAGGAAUACCGAUGGCGAAGGCAGCCCCCUGGGCCAAUACUGACGCUCAUGCACGAAAGCGUGGGGAGCAAACAGGAUUAGAGACCCGCGUAGUCCCUGUCUCUUAUAC